CCUACGGGUGGCAGCAGUGAGGAAUAUUGGUCAAUGGGCGCGAGCCUGAACCAGCCAAGUAGCGUGAAGGAUGAAUGUCCUACGGGUUGUAAACUUCUUUUGUAAAGGAAUAAAGUGAGGCACGUGUGCCUUGUUGUGUGUAUUUUAUGAAUAAGGAUCGGCUAACUCCGUGCCAGCAGCCGCGGUAAUACGGAGGAUCCGAGCGUUAUCCGGAUUUAUUGGGUUUAAAGGGAGCGUAGAUGGGUUGUUAAGUCAGUUGUGAAAGUUUGCGGGUCAACCGUAAAAUUGCAAUUGAUACUGGCAGCCGUGAGUACAGUUGAGGUAGGCGGAAUUCGUGGUGUAGCGGUGAAAUGCUUAGAUAUCACGAAGAACUCCGAUUGCGAAGGCAGCAUACUAAACUGACACUGACAUUGAUGCUCGAAAGUGUGGGUAUCAAACAGGAUUAGAUACCCCAGUAGUC
rnacentral:rRNA from 1 species